CAGCAGGGCUCUCAGCAUGGCAGUGUUGGGGUGCGGCACCUUUAAGAGGUGGGGCUCCGUGGACAGGAUGAGGUCCUGGUGCUGUCCAUGGAGAGGAUUAGUGCAGUGCUCCGGAGACCAGGCUCAGAGCCCAUGAGGGCAACUUAGCACAGGGCAAGGCGCCUGCCUGGACUCUGCUGUGCGUCUCCCUGUGCAAGUGCUUCUGUCACUCGGACACUGUCUAGUGUGGGCGUCACCACAGACUAUUAAAGGGACUUCCUGACCUAGGACUGCUGGCCUGCAAAACUGUGGGCUAAAGAAAACUCUGUAUGAAGUACCCAGCGGCAAGUAUGUUGCUAUAGUAACAGAAAACUAAGCUCCAGAUGCCCUGGUACAAACAGCUCUCCGUCUCCAACCGCCAAACCUGCUCAUUGUUCAUCUUCUCACCACCAGCCAUCAAGUGGAAACCAAGGUUCAACACCGGGUCUCCAUGACACCUCUGAUCUCGCUCCUUCCAGUCAGUUGAUAGUGAUCACAUAUCACUUUAUAAUUAAAACACCAAUUGUGAGAACAGAAGUUACAGUCUCCAAAAGAGAAAUGGAACAACUUUACCAGGACAUCUAUGCCUUAUACCAAGGUGAGAGAGAGCCAGAUGUGGUGGUGCAUGC